ACCUCGUGCGAUCGCCCACGAACGCACGUCCCACGCCCCGCCCGGUCUCCCCACCCAUGCGCUCCCGAUCUCAUCUUUCUCGCGUGAAAGGUCUCGCCGCCCAGCCCACACCACAGACUCGCGCACCAACUCGUUGGCAUAGAUCUUUCGAUCCGCCGCCAUGUAGCCCGUGCGGCCGCUGCAUCCAUCUCGUCGAUGUUCCCCUCUUCAUCCAACGCCACUUCAACGGUCUGCGCCGCCGCGCCGCCUCACACGGUACACUGCCUACCCCGUGCUCGCCCUUGGACGAAGUGGAGCCAGCGGUCGUCGCCCACAUGGCCACAUCACCGAACCUCGCUCCCAUCCUCCACCCCCCCCCCCGCCCCCUAGGGUUCCCCCUUCGCGGAGUCAGCAAGCUUGAUCGUGUUGCGGUGCUGCGGCUGGAUAAUGCCCCAUGGAUUUUGUGAUUUUGCAUUGCCUUGUAGCUUUGGAUUAUUCCUGAUGUAUGAUCGUGUGGUGGUGAUGGGGCUGAACAUUGCUCGCUACUAAGUGCAGCCUUGUGUGCUUCACGGUUAAGCUUGAUGAUCCUGUCAAAUUUAACAAUCUCUGUUAUGCGAUAUCUAUUGCCUUGGAGGAAUCCAGAGUCAUGUCUUGUAAAUUAUCUUUAAGGAGGUAACGUCCAGCGAUUUAAUUAUCUUGAACGUCCACGUUGUGGAACUAAUUUUUUUUAUUUUUUUGCAAGGUUCCAAUUCCAGUAACUUGAUCACAACAGGAAUCAUAAAAACUUAUUUUUGCUUGAUUCCGGAUCUUUCUUGGAAAUAAGCUAUUUUUUCUGCAAUCAUUUGCUUCACCUUGAGCAUAGGCCGUUUCAAAAGCCAUAUACUUUAAGUCACUAUAGUUAUUCAGGUUGUUUAUCUAUAGCAGAACUGUAUGCUCGUUGUGUACCUAUAUUCCAUGGUAACAAUACCUGGUCGAUGAAGUUGAAAAGAAGGCUCUAUGCUCUUUGUGUACCUAGCCGAUGAAGUUGAAAAGAAGGUUCUAUGCUCUUUGUGUUAUUUAUACUUAUAUACUAGGCUGUAAAUAUUAGGCUUGAGUAUGCUGGAUAAACAUUUCAGGCUAUGUCAGGCUUGAUUUGCAGUCAAAAUACAAGGUGGCGGCGUCGAUUUGGAAUUCUUACUGAUUUGAGAACUAAAAUUAUGAUUUAUAAUUGUAAUAGCAAUUGGAAGAGCUCUGAGGACCGUACAAUUCUCAGAAAGUGUUAAGUGCAGACUUAAGCGAAAAGCUUCAGACAUUGCAGGUACACAUGUUUUCUUGUCAUACGCUUGUCGAAUGACUGAAUGAUCGUUUGUACUCUUUUUUAAUUCUUUUCCUGAAAAAGAUACAUGAAACUGAAUGCGCCCUAGCAGUCCUUGAAGAGAAGUACUCCCUCCUUUCCGGUUUAUAGGGCUUAUCUCAAAAUUUUAGUUUUCCCAUUUUAUAAGGCUCAAUUUGGUUAUUCCUCAUCACAUGUUCAGAUUCCAGGGUGCAUUAAAUCAUUGCAUGUAAGUGUUAAGAGAAAAUUGACCAAUGCAUAUUCUUUAUGCAUGCAUGCAUUGCAAUUAAUGCAUUGGUAAACAUAAAUUUUUGAGGAAAACAAGAGCAUUAAUUGGGUGCUUUUGCAAAUUACAAAAGGUAUUCCACCACUCACCAUCUACCUUGGUUGGUGAGAUUUUUGAAUUGAGCCCUAUAAACCGGAAAGGAGGGAGUAUAUGCAGGCAAACAAUAUAAUAAAAGAGAAGGGUUAUCUGAUAGAAAGUGAUCUUCUUAAAACAGGUUAGAGUAAAAGGGAACUUCUAAGUUUCUGUUACUGAAUAUUGAUGUGUUGGCUUGAGUUGGAAUACUGUCUAUGUAUUAAGCACGAUCAUGUUAUAUGCUUAAGAAUUCAUUCAUGUAUAAUAUUAUCAUGUGCAAAGGCACUGUUUCCUUUUAGCUUACUAUCUAAUUUGUCCGUUUGCAUGUCUCCACGGGAAAAAGUGCUAAGAUACUUAUACUAUACAUAUACAAAGGUCAACACUGUGAGCUGGACACACACUGCAUCUCCUUACACUAUACACUGUCCGUGUUUCCAACUCUUCAUUUCACUAGCUAGAUCUGAAAUGCAAUAUGUGUCAGACUCUCAUGCCUACAUAUUAUUUUUGUUUUCUGUUGGGCCAGUCCAUUUGAAGAAUCCUAAUGGCCAUCAGGGUUAUGAAUUUCUUUGGUGGAAAUGAUAAUGUGGUUUCAGAAUUUGGAUUUAACACGAGGUGAUCGAGUGUGAAAGGAUUAUAGCUCAGACUUGAAAUGGUUUCUUAAGUAACAAAGUCGUGAUCUGUGAGUUUUCUCUUGCUACUACCAAACAACCACCUAUCUACCUACAUUAUACUACAGUGAGAAGGGUCAACAGGGCUGCAUUUACAUUCUAUGCUUAGGAAAUGAUUCCAAACUUCCGAUUUCGCAGAACAUGAGAAGGGCAACAAGGCUGCACUUUGUUCAUAUGCUAGAAUUCAUCUACAUGCCAUUAUGGAGAAUCUUUCAGGGAACUAUACAUUGGAGUGUGAUUUUAGACUGGAGAUUAUAUAAGUGAUGCAAUAUAUAUAAAGAUGCAUGAUAUCUGUAUUCGAGUGGCAUGCUGAUUCAUGAAGAUAUUUUCAAUCAUUUGUACAAGGCCAAGUACAAUGAGAAGGAGCCACAUGGAGAUCGCGGUUAAUUGGUGAGGCAUCGACUUCAGCUGGACGGAGUCAUCCAGUAUGUUGUAUGGAGGAGAUGACCAUGCUGGAUGGACCUGUGCCUCCGUCCUGCUACUAACGACGAGGUCGAGGCUGCACCUGGGCUGGGGCGAUGAAUAAGCCUGGGGAAUGCUAUUCUUCCGACCUUCCCCUUUGGUUGCAGGUAUGCUCCUGCUGGGUUAGUCUGAUUAAGAGUUAAGGCUAGAGAUGGUUCCC